UUUUACCCCAGAUUACAAUGGAAAGCAUUUUUCACAUCAAUCUCAUUUUUUCUUGACAUAAAAGAGCGACCAGCGGAAGCUCCUUUUUGUCUUAGAAAAAAGAGAUUGCCAGAAAAAUCUUGAAGUGGAAAGCUGGAUCAGGU
rnacentral:sRNA from 1 species